rnacentral:lncRNA from 7 species
GUGGUUGGGCACUGUAUGCUUCUGUGAGUGCAGAGCUGGAGGGUGCAGACACAGCCUGUUCUACCUGGAGAACACAGUCAUUGGGACCGUGAUUCAAUCCAGGCUGUCAGAUGAAGGUUUUCCACACCUCAGCAAUCAUCGCAGAGCAGCUGGGGACGGGGCUGGAGCUCACAGGCUGCAGACCUGUCUGGUAGCCAUGUAAAAUCCCCCGAGAGAUGAGUAUGAAGUUGAUUGCUUGGUCUGUUUUACAGCGCUAAGCUUUCAGUUGGAAAUACCCUUCUCAGCUUGAAACCAGAAGCUCUGACAAUGACAGAUCUAUUCCGAGGAGAUACCAUCGUUACAGGGUGGGGUAGCAAGCUCCAUUCCCAUCUGCUGAUAGAAUUAUCUCCACUGUGUGACCCUCCUCUUAUCCGUUGCUGACAGCAAUGUUUCUUGUGGCUGUUCCCCCCACCAGCUGCAGUGAGAGGUUAUUUUCAGCUGCCAGGAGCAAUGCUGUCUCUCUGAUUUUUUUUAUUUUUUUUAAUUUUUUUACUCUCAAGGCCAGAUCUUCCAGUUAGCAAUCAGCACUGCAGGUCCGUGGCAGAUUCCUACCCAGUCUCUGUACAACACCUCUGUUGCAUGUUGAUGAUUGGAGUCAAUGGGGGAAGCUUAUUUUUUUACCCCGUGCUCUCCACAGUGUGCAGUGUUGAAUUCUUACAGAAUUACAGAACAUUUUCAGGCAGAGGAAUCCCAUUCUGCCUUUAUUCAGACUGACAGCAGCUGUGUAAACCCUCUGGGGUUCGUUAAUUUUUUUUUUUUUUUUUCCAUUUCCUGCAGUACAGCAGAGUGUGAUUUGGAAGGAAGCCAUUUGGUCCACCAUGUACCUGUUUUAAUUGCACUUAAACCAGUACAUCUUUUGCUAGAAUGACCUUAAAUCAGCUUAUUAGCACUGACACAAGGGUUCUUGAAUUAUGCGCAUUUCAUACUUUCACCCAUUGCAGCAUACUACUUUUAUCUGUGGUUGAAACUCACCCUAAAUUAGGAGGCAGAACAAAGAGCUGCUCACUAUCUACACCUCCCUGAAAGCCUGAUGCAGAGGGCAGGGGAAUGUAAGACUUGCAAAGCCUUUGUAGUAACCUUGCCUGGCAAUUGAUUUUAUCUUUAAGGCUGUCGCUGUUUCUUUGCUGUAAAAUCCUUUUUCACUCUACUGGUUUUGGAGCUCAUAUGAAAAGCACACCUUUGGCACAGAUGUGCCACCAUCAUUUUUUAAUUUGUACUUUAAUGUUUGAAAAAACACAAAGAUGCCCUCUUCAGU